rnacentral:tRNA from 1 species
GGUCUCAUAGCUCAGUUGACUAGAGCGUUUGCUGUACUGUAGCCUGCUCCUUGCUGGCGUGGGUUCAAAUCCCACCGAAGCCG